GACGUAGGGGGCCAGCGUUGCUCGGAAUUACUGGGUGUAAAGGGUUCGUAGGCGGUGUGGCAAGUCGGGAGUGAAAUCUCUGGGCUCAACCCAGAGUCUGCUUCCGAAACUGCUGUGCUUGAGUGCGGGAGAGGCGCGUGGAAUUGCAGGUGUAGCGGUGAAAUGCGUAGAUAUCUGCAGGAACACCCGUGGCGAAAGCGGCGCGCUGGACCACUACUGACGCUGAGGAACGAAAGCUAGGGGAGCAAACAGG
rnacentral:rRNA from 1 species